GAUGAACGCUGGCGGCGUGCCUAAUACAUGCAAGUCGAGCGAACAGACGAGGAGCUUGCUCCUCUGACGUUAGCGGCGGACGGGUGAGUAACACGUGGAUAACCUACCUAUAAGACUGGGAUAACUUCGGGAAACCGGAGCUAAUACCGGAUAAUAUAUUGAACCGCAUGGUUCAAUAGUGAAAGACGGUUUUGCUGUCACUUAUAGAUGGAUCCGCGCCGCAUUAGCUAGUUGGUAAGGUAACGGCUUACCAAGGCAACGAUGCGUAGCCGACCUGAGAGAGUGGUCGCCCACACGGGAAGGGAGACGGGGUCCAGAGUCCUGGGGGAGGAAGAAGUGGGGAAUCUUCGGAAGAGGGGGAAAGCUUGACGGAGAAGCGGCGGGGGAGUGAUAAAGGUGUAGGGAUCGAAAAACUGUGUUAUGGGGAAAAAACAAAUUGGUAAGUAACUAGGCAGUUCUUGAGGGUACUGAAUAAAAAAGCCACGGCUAACUACGUG
rnacentral:rRNA from 1 species